rnacentral:rRNA from 1 species
UCCUACGGGGGGCAGCAGUAGGGAAUUUUCGUCAAUGGGCGCAAGCCUGAACGAGCAAUGCCGCGUGAACGAGGAAGGUCUUCGGAUCGUAAAGUUCUGUUGAAGGGGAAAAAGAGCGGAGAGAGGAAAUGGUCUCCGAUUGAUAUUACCCUUCGAGGAAGUCACGGCUAACUACGUGCCAGCAGCCGCGGUAAUACGUAGGUGGCGAGCGUUAUCCGGAAUGAUUGGGCGUAAAGGGCGUGUAGGCGGGCCUGCAAGUCAGAAGUGAAAUCUGGGGGCUUAACCCCCAAACUGCUUUUGAAACU